GCUGGGCGCGGUGGCGCGGGCCUGCAGUCCCAGCUAUUUGGGAGGCUGAGGCUGGAGGAGCUCUUGAGCCCAGGAGUUCUGGACUGUAGUGCACUAUGCCGAUCGGGUGUCCGCACUAAGUUCAGCAUCAAUAUGGUGACCUCCAGGGAGUAGGGGACCACCGGGUUACCUACUUCCGGCCCAGGUUGGAAACGGCACAGGUCAAAACUCCCGUGCUGUUCAGUAAUGGGAUCGCGCCUGUGAAUAGCCACUGUACUCCAGCCUGCACAACAUAUCGAGACCCCAUCUCUU
ensembl:misc_RNA Metazoa_SRP Metazoan signal recognition particle RNA